rnacentral:rRNA from 1 species
CCUUCGGGGUGCAGCAGGCGCGAAAACUUUACAAUGCUGGAAACAGCGAUAGGGGGACUUUGAGUGCCAGGAUACAAUUCUGGCUGUCGUCGUGCCUAAAAAGCACGGCAUAGCAAGGGCCGGGCAAGACCGGUGCCAGCCGCCGCGGUAACACCGGCGGCUCGAGUGGUAACCGCUAUUAUUGGGUCUAAAGGGUCUGUAGCCGGCUGAAAAAGUCUCUUGGGAAAUCCGGCAGCUUAACUGUCGGGCUUUCAGGAGAUACUCUUCGGCUCGAGACCGGGAGAGGUGAGAGGUACUUCAUGGGUAGGGGUGAAAUCUUGUAAUCCUUGAAGGACCACCAGUGGCGAAGGCGUCUCACCAGAACGGAUCUGACGGCAAGGGACGAAAGCUAGGGGCACGAACCGGAUUAGAUACCCGGGUAGUCCUAGCCGUAAACGAUACUCGCUAGGUGUCGGCCACGGUGCGACCGUGGUCGGUGCCGUAGGGAAGCCGUGAAGCGAGCCACCUGGGAAGUACGGCCGCAAGGCUGAAACUUAAAGGAAUUGGCGGGGGAGCAC